UCGAGGAUCUUCGGCAAUGAGCGAAAGCUUGACCGAGCGACACCGCGUGCGGGAUGAAGGCCUUCGGGUUGUAAACCGCUUUCGUAGGGGAGGAAAUUUCGGUGGAUCACCCAUCGAUUUGACCUAGCCUAGGAAGAAGGACGGGCUAAGUUCGUGCCAGCAGCCGCGGUAAUACGAACCGUCCAAACGUUAUUCGGAAUUACUGGGCUUAAAGGGUGCGUAGGCGGCCCGGGAAGUUGGGUGUGAAAGCCCUCGGCGCAACCGAGGAACGGCGCGCAAAACUGCCGGGCUAGAGGGAGAUAGAGGUGAGCGGAACUUAGGGUGGAGCGGUGAAAUGCGUUGAUAUCCUAAGGAAGAGCGGAGGCGAAAGCGGCUCAAUGGGUCUCUUAUGACGCUGAGGCACGAAAGCUAGGG
rnacentral:rRNA from 1 species